GGGGGUGUAGCUCAGUGGUAGAGCGUCCGCUUUGCAUGCGGAAGGCCUCGGGUUCAAUCCCCGACACCUCCA